GCCUGGCCCUAAAUCUUGAUGCUCGAUAUUACCUGAGCAUCCGCCCGARAACUACGAGCACAAACGCUUAAAACUCUAAGGACUUGGCGGUGCUCCAAACCCACCUAGAGGAGCCUGUUCUGUAAUCGAUGAUCCACGAUAUUACCUGACCAUUCCUUGCACGAAACAGCCUAUAUACCGCCGUCGCCAGCCCACCUUUCCUGACAGCCCAACAGUGGACGCAAUAGCCUAACCCGCUAGCAAGACAGGUCAAGGUAUAGCCCACGGAAUGGAAGCAAUGGGCUACAUUUUCUAGACUARAACAUACGGAUAAGGGUAUGAAACUGCCCUUGGAAGGCGGAUUUAGCAGUAAAGAGAGACAAUUGAGCUCUCUUUAAGCCGGCUCUGGAGCACGU
rnacentral:rRNA from 1 species